rnacentral:rRNA from 1 species
CCUACGGGAGGCUGCAGUGAGGAAUAUUGGUCAAUGGCCGGAAGGCUGAACCAGCCAUGCCGCGUGAAGGUCAGUGCCCUAUGGGCGUUAAACUUCUUUUGUGCGGGAGCAAUAAUGGUCACGUGUGGCCAGACGAGAGUACCGUACGAAUAAGCAUCGGCUAACUCCGUGCCAGCAGCCGCGGGAAUACGGGGGAUGCAAGCGUUAUCCGGAUUUAUUGGGUUUUAAGGGUGCGUAGGCUGGGAGGUAAGUCAGCGGUGAAAUGCCCCCGCUCAACGGGGUGAAGUGCCAUUGAUACUGGCAGGCUGGAGUGGGAAUGCCGUAGGAGGAAGGUGUGGUGUAGCGGUGAAAUGCAUAGAUAUCACGCAGAACACCGAUUGCGAAGGCAUCUCACGAAUCCGCGAUUGACGCUGAUGCACGAAAGCGUGGGUAUCAAACAGGAUUAGAUACCCUAGUAGUC